rnacentral:rRNA from 1 species
CCUACGGGUGGCUGCAGUGGGGAAUAUUGGACAAUGGGCGAAAGCCUGAUCCAGCAACGCCGCGUGAGGGAUGACGGCCUUCGGGUUGUAAACCUCUUUCAGUAGGGACGAAGCGCAAGUGACGGUACCUACAGAAGAAGCACCGGCCAACUACGUGCCAGCAGCCGCGGUAAUACGUAGGGUGCGAGCGUUGUCCGGAAUUAUUGGGCGUAAAGGGCUCGUAGGCGGUUUGUCACGUCGGGAGUGAAAACUCGGGGCUUAACUCCGAGCCUGCUUCCGAUACGGGCUGACUAGAGGUAUGCAGGGGAGAACGGAAUUCCUGGUGUAGCGGUGAAAUGCGCAGAUAUCAGGAGGAACACCGGUGGCGAAGGCGGUUCUCUGGGCAUUACCUGACGCUGAGGAGCGAAAGUGUGGGGAGCGAACAGGAUUAGAUACCCCAGUAGUCC